rnacentral:rRNA from 1 species
ACGGAGGGGGCAAGCGUUGUUCGGAAUUAUUGGGCGUAAAGGGCUCGUAGGCGGAUCUGUAAGUCUGGCGUGAAAUCUCCACCGCUUAACGGGGAGCUGCCGCUGGAUACUGCAGAUCUGGAGUUCGGUAGAGGAUCGUGGAAUUUCGGGUGUAGCGGUGGAAUGCGUAGAUAUCCGAAAGAACACCAGUGGCGAAGGCGACGAUCUGGGCCUGAACUGACGCUGAGGAGCGAAAGCUAGGGGAGCAAACGGGA